rnacentral:lncRNA from 1 species
CCCACCCUCCAUUCCUCUGUCUCUCCAUUCCUCCACCUACUCCUCCCAAUUUCUCCUCUUACAGCCCCCCUUCUCACCACCACUUAUAAUGGCACACAGGGCUCCCUCUGAGGUGGACGGCCCGAUGCACAGAGAAUUUCUGACCUUGUGACGUUUGGGAGUGAGGAGAUCCCAUACAGAGGCAUCCAGGUAUUUCCAGAGAUCCUGUGGCAGGUGAGGUCUGCCCUCGCUGGAGCCAACUCGUCUAUAAUAUCUUCCUAACAGCAGAUACCAUAGAGGAGAGGUCGAGGUCCUUCCACUGAAGCACCAAGUGGGGUAUAUAAAGCCACACUGCCCAUGAGGGCUGUGGUGUGAGUCUGCUAGCCGUGAGAGACAGAUGCAUUACAAAGGGAUGGAUUUAGUGCACUCUUUCCUCUCUUACUCACAGCCUGAACAGCCAGUGAACAAUGAAACAAAACUUCUUCCCAAGCCUCAAUGAGGAUUGUGCCAUAGUUUGAAGAUGAAGUCUUGCUCUGUUGCCCAGUCUGGAGUGCAGUGGUACGAUCAUAACUCACUGAAGUCUCAAACUUCUGGGCUCAACCAAUCCUCCCGCUUAACCUCCCAAGUAGCUGGGACGACAGGUGCAUGCCACUACGCAUUGCUAUUAAAAAAAAAAUUGUAGAGAUGGGGUCUUACUAUGUUGCCCAGGCUAGUCUUGAACUCCUGGCCUCAAGCAAUUUUUCCAUCUUGGCCUCUGAAACGCUGGGAUUACAGGUGUGAGACACCACAAGGCCUGAUUUUUUUUUUUUUUUUUUUUUUUUUUACUGGAAAUUGGAUUACAAUCCUUCUGAGUACAAUAUAAAAUACAUUGCUUGUUGUUGAAUAAUUUUAGGAAUGGAGUAGCAUCAUAUGGAGCUUCCAACAUUCUUAUUUUGAUUUUGUAGUUUUUUAAUAAACACAGAAGACUUAACUGUUUUGAAUGAAUUUACCCAUUGCAAGCAAUUAACAUCCAAUCACUUUACUUAAAAUAAUCAAACCAUUUGUGUAUAUAUAUACAGGAUAUAUUUCUACUGUUUACUGUCUCAAAGCAUUUUAACAAGCUAUUGUGCUGGCAGAGUUAAUUAGAUCUGAAAACUGGUAUAAUAAAAACAAUAAAAAACUGUAAGAAUGCAUUAAAAUAGAACACCAAAAUAAUAGAACCUAAGGUUUCUAAAGUUGUAUUUGACAAGUCAAAUGUUCCUUAAUAACUGGAUGCAUCAGAAUACAUUGUUCAUUAUAAUAUUAAAGGCAUGUAAUGAAAUGAAAAUUGAAGCAAUAGAGAAUUCAGUAUGCACAAUUAUUUUAAAUUUAAAAUCUUACCCAUAAUGAACAUAGCUAAAAACAUAAAAGACAAAUGAUAGAGAAAUUAAAAGCAAUUAUCAAAGGAAUUCUCAGCAGAAAUUUCUGAUUUAAA